GACGAACGUUGGCGGCGUGCUUAACACAUGCAAGUCGAACGGAAAGGCCCUGCUUUUGUGGGGUGCUCGAGUGGCGAACGGGUGAGUAACACGUGAGUAACCUGCCCUUGACUUUGGGAUAACUUCAGGAAACUGGGGCUAAUACCGGAUAGGAGCUCCUGCUGCAUGGUGGGGGUUGGAAAGUUUCGGCGGUUGGGGAUGGACUCGCGGCUUAUCAGCUUGUUGGUGGGGUAGUGGCUUACCAAGGCUUUGACGGGUAGCCGGCCUGAGAGGGUGACCGGCCACAUUGGGACUGAGAUACGGCCCAGACUCCUACGGGAGGCAGCAGUGGGGAAUAUUGCACAAUGGGCGGAAGCCUGAUGCAGCAACGCCGCGUGCGGGAUGACGGCCUUCGGGUUGUAAACCGCUUUCGCCUGUGACGAAGCGUGAGUGACGGUAAUGGGUAAAGAAGCACCGGCUAACUACGUGCCAGCAGCCGCGGUGAUACGUAGGGUGCGAGCGUUGUCCGGAUUUAUUGGGCGUAAAGGGCUCGUAGGUGGUUGAUCGCGUCGGAAGUGUAAUCUUGGGGCUUAACCCUGAGCGUGCUUUCGAUACGGGUUGACUUGAGGAAAGGUAGGGGAGAAUGGAAUUCCUGGUGGAGCGGUGGAAUGCGCAGAUAUCAGGAGGAACACCAGUGGCGAAGGCGGUUCUCUGGGCCUUUCCUGACGCUGAGGAGCGAAAGCGUGGGGAGCGAACAGGCUUAGAUACCCUGGUAGUCCACGCUGUAAACGGUGGGUACUAGGUGUGGGGUCCAUUCCACGGGUUCCGUGCCGUAGCUAACGCUUUAAGUACCCCGCCUGGGGAGUACGGCCGCAAGGCUAAAACUCAAAGGAAUUGACGGGGCCCCGCACAAGCGGCGGAGCAUGCGGAUUAAUUCGAUGCAACGCGUAGAACCUUACCUGGGUUUGACAUGGAUCGGGAGUGCUCAGAGAUGGGUGUGCCUCUUUUGGGGUCGGUUCACAGGUGGUGCAUGGCUGUCGUCAGCUCGUGUCGUGAGAUGUUGGGUUAAGUCCCGCAACGAGCGCAACCCUUGUUCACUGUUGCCAGCACGUUAUGGUGGGGACUCAGUGGAGACCGCCGGGGUCAACUCGGAGGAAGGUGGGGAUGACGUCAAGUCAUCAUGCCCCUUAUGUCCAGGGCUUCACGCAUGCUACAAUGGCUGGUACAGAGAGUGGCGAGCCUGUGAGGGUGAGCGAAUCUCGGAAAGCCGGUCUCAGUUCGGAUUGGGGUCUGCAACUCGACCUCAUGAAGUCGGAGUCGCUAGUAAUCGCAGAUCAGCAACGCUGCGGUGAAUACGUUCCCGGG
rnacentral:rRNA from 1 species